rnacentral:rRNA from 1 species
GAUGAACGCUAGCUACAGGCUUAACACAUGCAAGUCGAGGGGCAGCAUGAACUUAGCUUGCUAAGUUUGAUGGCGACCGGCGCACGGGUGAGUAACACGUAUCCAACCUUCCGUUUACUCAGGGAUAGCCUUUCGAAAGAAAGAUUAAUACCUGAUAGUAUGGUGAGAUUGCAUGAUAACACCAUUAAAGAUUAUUGGUAACGAUGGGGAUGCGUUCCAUUAGGUAGUAGCGGGUAACGGCCACCUAGCCUGCGAUGGAUAGGGGUUCUGAGAGGAAGGUCCCCACAUUGGAACUGAGACACGG